CAAUAGUGUAUAUUAAAGUUGCUGCAGUUAAAAAGCUCGUAGUUGGAUUUCAGGGUCACCUGGCCGGUCUGCCGAUAGGUAAGCACUGGUCGCGUGAUUCUUCCUUCUGAAGACGGCUUCUGUCAUUAAUUUGGCGGUUGUUCGGAUUCAGGACGUUUACUUUGAAUAAAUUAGAGUGUUUAAAGCAGGCCACUGCCUUGAAUACAUUAGCAUGGAAUAAUGGAAUAGGACUUUAGUUCUAUUUUGUUGGUUUCUGGGACUGAAGUAAUGAUUAAUAGGGAUAGUUGGGGGCGUUAGUAUUUCGUUGCUAGAGGUGAAAUUCUCAGAUUUAUGAAAGACUAACUACUGCGAAAGCAUUCGCCAAGGAUGUUUNCAUUAA
rnacentral:rRNA from 1 species